AUUGAACGCUGGCGGCAUGCUCUACACAUGCAAGUCGAACGGUAACAGGCCGCAAGGUGCUGACGAGUGGCGAACGGGUGAGUAAUGCAUCGGAACGUGCCCAGUCGUGGGGGAUAACUACUCGAAAGAGUAGCUAAUACCGCAUACGAUCUAUGGAUGACAGCGGGGGACCGUAAGGCCUCGCGCGAUUGGAGCGGCCGAUGUCAGAUUAGGUAGUUGGUGGGGUAAAGGCUCACCAAGCCAACGAUCUGUAGCUGGUCUGAGAGGACGACCAGCCACACUGGGACUGAGACACGGCCCAGACUCCUACGGGAGGCAGCAGUGGGGAAUUUUGGACAAUGGGCGCAAGCCUGAUCCAGCAAUGCCGCGUGCAGGAAGAAGGCCUUCGGGUUGUAAACUGCUUUUGUACGGAACGAAACGGCUCUGGUUAAUACCCGGGGCUAAUGACGGUACCGUAAGAAUAAGCACCGGCUAACUACGUG
rnacentral:rRNA from 1 species